rnacentral:rRNA from 1 species
CUACGGGUUGCUGCAGUCGAGAAUAUUUAGCAAUGGGCGAAAGCCUGACUAUGCGACGCCGCGUGCAGGAUGAAGGUUUUCGGAUCGUAAACUGCUUUUGUCAGGAAAGAAAAUUCCACCUUAUAAAACAGGGUGGGAGUGACGGUACCUGACGAAUAAGCCACGGCCAACUCCGUGCCAGCAGCCGCGGUAAUACGGAGGUGGCAAGCGUUACUCGGAAUCAUUGGGUGUAAAGGGCAAGUAGGCGGUUUGAUAAGUGAGGGGUGAAAUCUUCCGACUUAAUCGGAAAACUGCCUUUCAAACUAUCAGACUUGAGGCGGGAAGAGGGAAAUGGAAUUCUCAGUGUAAGGGUGAAAUCUGUAGAUAUCGAGAAGAACACCGGCGGCGAAGGCGAUUUCCUGGUCCUGUCCUGACGCUAAAUUGCGAAAGCUAGGGGAGCAAACAGGAUUAGAUACCCCAGUAGUC